rnacentral:lncRNA from 1 species
CUUGUUGAGCGGGGCGUCGAGGAGGAAGCGCUUGGGGAGAUCGGGGUUGGCGAGGAAGAGCCGCCCAAACGCCACCAGGUCCGUGUAGCCGGAGGCCACGGCUUUGUUGCCCUCCUCGCGGUCGUAGCCGCCGGCGGCGAUGAAGGUCCCCUGGAAGGCCUUUCUGAUGGGGAGGAGUCCCUGGCGGAGCUUCCGGCGGCCCUCGACGAUGGCCAUCCGCGGCUCCACGACGUGGCAGUAGAGCAGACCCAGCUUGCUCACGGCCUUCGCCAUGUACACGCCGAGGGCCUCCGGGUCGGAGUCCCAGCUCUCCAUGUAGUCGACGAAGGGGGAGAGGCGAAUGCCGACUCGGUCGGCCCCGAUCUCGUCGACGACGGCCUGGACCACCUCCAGAGGGAAGCGGCACCGGUUCUCCAGGCUGCCGCCGUAUUCAUCCGUCCUGUCGUUCACACUGUCCUUCAUGAACUGCUCCAGGAGAUAGCCGUGCGCCCCGUGGACCUCCACCCCAUCGAAGCCUGUGGACAGUCCCGUUCAACGAAGAGACGCAAGGAUAGCGGGGGAGAGAACAAAGCAGAUAGGAGGAGGGAGACGGAGGAGCCGACCUGCCUCAAUGGCGUUUCUCGCUGCGAGCCUGAAGUCAUUGACGAUGUGAGGGAUCUCGUCCGUGCGCAGCCGGUGGGGAGGAGAGUACUCGGAGACGGAGUCAUCGUGCUGGACCACGGGUUGGAUGCCUCUGUCUGUGCUGGAGAUUGGAGCUUGCCCAUUAGGCUGUAAACCUGCACGUCUCCAAAUAUUGGAGAAAAACGAGUGAGGAGGGAUCAAUCUCUCUUCCUGGGUGAGGAUGAAACCAGGAGCAAGAAGAAGGCUAUGGGAGGAUCACCGUAGUUCGAGACCCUCCCCACAUGCCACAUCUGGCAAAAGAAUACGGCGCCCUUGUCGUGGACGGCGCGGACAAUGGGCUUCCAGGCUUCCACCUGCUCCUUGGUCCAGAUCCCCGGCGUCUCGGGAUACCCCUGAGCGGUGUCUGAAACUCCGGUGGCUUCGGUGAUGAGGAAGCCUCCCUUCGAGGCCCUCUGCGAGUAGUACAGCACGGCAUGCGGCUGGGGCACGUUGCCGUAUGAUCUCUGCCUCGUCAGCGGAGCAAGAACCACUCUGAAGAGGGUUACAACAGAAAAAAGAUCUCAGUACUGAAGAACGAGAUUUGAAAGAUUUGAGCAAAUCCGAGAUGGCGGGCGAGUGAGUAAAUCCGAGAGAUUCCCAGCGGGUCGUCCCUCGAUCCGUCACAGGAACGGUGGGGGGAAAGCUCGGACGAACCUGUGGGAGAGCUCGAAUUUGCCCAUCUUGUAGGGAGUAAGCAGGGGGACCGUCUCCUGUGCCAUCUCCGCCGCUCUUCUUCCUCCCCAGCGACCUCGAGUGCCCCUCUCCUCUCCUCCGAUAUCUACCACAGGGGCUCGUUCAGGAUGUAAUUUAUAGCACGGGUGACUGGGUGGUCGGCGAUGCUCGACGACUUCACCUUCCCCGGAUCUUCCAGCUGUCGGCUAGGGAGUGGCGACGGUGGAACCGAGGACCGCCGUCUCCCAGCAGAAUGGCUUGCAUCCUUCCAAGUGCCCGGCUGCUGUGGGGGCGGUCAAAGGCAGUCGUCCCUAAAAGCGGACACAGCAGCUGAACGAAGGUCAAAAUUGUCCUGGAGCCUGUACUUUUUUUCCUCUUUAUUCAGAGAAAGUACCCCAUAAAUCCAUAAAUGAUAUCACUCUGUAGGGAGUAUUCAGAGAAAGAUGAUAGAGAUAUUUUCGUUUUUGGGGAAAUUUUCGGUGUCAUGACGUCAUCGCAUUCGCGGUACCGUCCAUAUCUGUCAUUAAGAGUGAAUGCAUCCUUCGGAUCCAAUGAGCCAGCAUCUAGUCUCUCUGCUGGAAGCCGCCGAACGUCAGCGCUGUCGUGUACUUGGGCUUCGACGAUGCCUGUCAAAGCAUUCCACUUGAAUCACAGUCAACGGCCCGGGGCCGGGGCCAUUCUCUGAUGAGCUCCCGAGCCUCCCUUCAACGGUGAGCCCAGCCACGGCUCUCCUUUUCCGGGCCCCGAAUCAGAGGGCAGAAGCCGUCCACAUCCUCCUCCCAGACUGGAGGACACGUCGCACCGCCGUGGAGUUGACCGGCGAUAUGGGAGGGGGCUACGUAGAGGCUUCCUCAGCCGUUGGGUAUCCGCUCUGGAGGAACUCAACUGGUCCAUCUCCAUGAUUGGCGAUUCCUAAUCUACUUUCCGGUCAAUAAUUUCCGGCAUUUUUGUCUUGAAAAUUAUUCGAUAGCAUGAACAGUUUAGAUCAGCUCUCGGUACAUCAUUUACUGUCCCUCGAUCCAAAGAUCAUCUCUGUGGAUGAGCGGACGAUAAGGGAUGAUUCAGGAGAAGGCUGGCUGUGUUCCGUCUAAGCUGCUGGUUCGAGAAUGGGGUAAUCUGUGUAGCCGAUGACGGGGUCGGAGGUGAAGAAGGUGGUCCUGUCGUACUUGUUCAGGGGGGCUCCCACCUUGAAUCUUCUGGGGAGAUCCGGAUUUGACAAGAAAAUCCGCCCGAACGCCACCAGAUCGGUGUAUCCCUCCGCCACCACCUUGUUGCCGGAUUCAAGGUUGUAUCCGCCGGCGGCGAUGAAGGUCCCCUUGAAGGCCUCCCUUAUCGGGCGAAGGCUGUAGGGGAUCUGGAGCUUCCCGUCCACGCGAACCAUCCUCGGCUCGACGACGUGGAAGUAGACGAUGCCGCGCUUGCUGAGGGCCUGAGCGACGUGGACCCCGAG